rnacentral:rRNA from 1 species
GACGAACGCUGGCGGCGUGCUUAACACAUGCAAGUCGAACGGAAAGGCCUGCUUUCCCUUGUGGAUUGCGGGUACUCGAGUGGCGAACGGGUGAGUAACACGUGAGUGAUCUGCCCCCAACUUGGGUAUAAGCCUGGGAAACUGGGUCUAAUUCCCGAUAGGACUGCAGGGUGGUGCCUGUGGUGGAAAACGAUUUUCUAGUGGUUGGGGAUGAGCUCGCGGCCUAUCAGCUUGUUGGUGGGGUAAUGGCCUACCAAGGCGGCGACGGGUAGCCGGCCUGAGAGGGUGGACAGCCACAUUGGGACUGGGAUACGGCCCAGACGCCUACGGGAGGCAGCAGUGGGGAGUAUUGCACAAUGGGCGGGAGCCUGAUGCAGCGACGCCGCGUGGGGGAUGACGGCCUUCGGGUUGUAAACUCCUUUCGACCGCGAGGAAGCCACCUGGUUGGAAGGGUGGUGACGGUAGUGGUAGAAGAAGCACCGGCUAACUACGUG